rnacentral:misc_RNA from 1 species
UUAUUGACAAAAUUUUGGUCUAAUUUUAUAAACUCCAAUU